ACCGGUUCUCGUACGACCACCAAAGUUAAGCAUCGUCGAGUCUGGUCAGUAACUAGAGAGGUGACCGCUUGGGAAUACAAGGUGCUGUAA